AAGUCUGACGGAGCAACGCCGCGUGAGUGAAGAAGGUUUUCGGAUCGUAAAACUCUGUUGUUAGGGAAGAACAAGGACGAGAGUAACUGCUCGUCCCUUGACGGUAUCUAACCAGAAAGCCACGGCUAACUACGUGCCAGCAGCCGCGGUAAUACGUAGGUGGCAAGCGUUGUCCGGAAUUAUUGGGCGUAAAGCGMGCGCAGGCGGUCUUUUAAGUCUGAUGUGAAAGCCCCCGGCUCAACCGKGGAGGGUCAUUGGAAACUGGGGGACUUGAGUGCAGAAGAGAAGAGUGGAAUUCCAUGUGUAGCGGUGAAAUGCGUAGAGAURUGGAGGAACACCAGUGGCGAAGGCGRCUCUYUGGUCUGUAACUGACGCUGAGGCUCGAAAGCGUGGGGAGCAAACAGGAUUAGAUACCCUGGUAGUCCACGCCGUAAACGAUGAGUGCUAAGUGUUGGAGGGUUUCCGCCCUUUAGUGCUGCAGCUAACGCAUUAAGCACUCCGCCUG
rnacentral:rRNA from 1 species